rnacentral:sRNA from 1 species
UGGAAGCCAAGACAGUGCUAUGAUGACAUUGAUAAUUUGCUCAUUCCAGCACCAAUUCAGCAGAUGGUCACAGGGCAGUCAGGACUGUUCACUCAGUACAACAUCCAGAAAAAAGCGAUGACUGUGAAGGAGUUCAGGCAGCUGGCCAACAGUGGCAAAUAUUGUACUCCAAGAUACUUGGAUUACGAAGAUUUGGAGCGCAAGUACUGGAAGAACUUAACUUUUGUGGCACCUAUCUAUGGUGCAGAUAUUAAUGGGAGCAUAUAUGAUGAGUUUCUUCCUGUGCGUUGUAACCUGGCAAAUGUUCAGGCUUCUGAGAAGAAGGUUGAGCUGAUGGGUCAUCCUGAUCCUGGCCUGAAAGUUGCAUGUCUGAGUGCUUGAAAAUAAAAUAAAACUCAAUCUUAA